rnacentral:siRNA from 1 species
ACAAAGAGUGCCUGAUCUCG